AGUGAACGCUGGCGGUAGGCCUAACACAUGCAAGUCGAACGGCAGCACAGGAGAGCUUGCUCUCUGGGCGGCGAGUGGCGGACGGGUGAGGAAUACAUCGGAAUCUACUUUUUCGUGGGGGAUAACGUAGGGAAACUUACGCUAAUACCGCAUACGACCUACGGGUGAAAGCAGGGGACCUUCAGGCCUCGCGCGAUUGAAUGAGCCGAUGUCGGAUUAGCUAGUUGGCGGGGUAAAGGCCCACCAAGGCGACGAUCCGUAGCUGGUCUGAGAGGAUGAUCAGCCACACUGGAACUGAGACACGGUCCAGACUCCUACGGGAGGCAGCAGUGGGGAAUAUUGGACAAUGGGCGCAAGCCUGAUCCAGCCAUACCGCGUGGGUGAAGAAGGCCUUCGGGUUGUAAAGCCCUUUUGUUGGGAAAGAAAUCCAGCUGGCUAAUACCCGGUUGGGAUGACGGUACCCAAAGAAUAAGCACCGGCUAACUUCGUGCCAGCCGCCGCGGUAA
rnacentral:rRNA from 1 species